rnacentral:tRNA from 1 species
AGGGGAGUAGCUCAACUGGCAGAGCAUCGGUCUCCAAAACCGGAGGUUGCGGGUUCAAGUCCUGCCUCCCCUGCCA